GUAGUCGGAUUCGCAUCAAUCCACAUGUGUUGGGGUGGAUUGGAGUGAAACUUGAAUUAAAUUCCACUCCAAUCCACUGAAACACACAUGUGAGUGAAUUGAGGUGAAUCUGACA
rfam:Sorghum bicolor cultivar BTx623 chromosome 10, whole genome shotgun sequence.